rnacentral:rRNA from 1 species
GUGGGGAAUAUUGCACAAUGGGCGCAAGCCUGAUGCAGCAACGCCGCGUGAGGGAUGACGGCCUUCGGGUUGUAAACCUCUUUUAGUAGGGAAGAAGCGUAAGUGACGGUACCUGCAGAAAAAGCACCGGCUAACUACGUGCCAGCAGCCGCGGUAAUACGUAGGGUGCAAGCGUUGUCCGGAAUUAUUGGGCGUAAAGAGCUCGUAGGCGGCUUGUCGCGUCUGCUGUGAAAACCCGAGGCUCAACCUCGGGCUUGCAGUGGGUACGGGCAGGCUAGAGUGCGGUAGGGGAGAUUGGAAUUCCUGGUGUAGCGGUGGAAUGCGCAGAUAUCAGGAGGAACACCGAUGGCGAAGGCAGAUCUCUGGGCCGUAACUGACGCUGAGGAGCGAAAGCAUGGGGAGCGAACAGGAUUAGAUACCCUGGUAGUCC